rnacentral:rRNA from 1 species
CCCUUAGAUGUUCUGGGCCGCACGCGCGCUACACUGACGAAUUCAACGAGCUUAUAACCUUGGCCGAAAGGUCUAGGUAAUCUCCAAAAUUCGUCGUGAUGGGGAUAGAUUAUUGCAAUUAUUAAUCUUCAACGAGGAAUGCCUAGUAAGCGCAAGUCAUCAGCUUGCGCUGACUACGUCCCUGCCCUUUGUACACACCGCCCGUCGCUACUACCGAUUGAAUGAUUUAGUGAGGACUUCGGACUGGGACCGAUGCGGCUUUCGGGCUGCGUCGGUAUUCUGGAAAGAUGUCCAAACUGUAUCAUUUAGAGGAAGUAAAAGUCGUAACA